rnacentral:rRNA from 1 species
GACGAACGCUGGCGGCGUGCUUAACACAUGCAAGUCGAACGGAAAGGCUCCAGCUUGCUGGAGUACUCGAGUGGCGAACGGGUGAGUAACACGUGGGUAAUCUGCCCUGCACUCUGGGAUAAGCCUGGGAAACUGGGUCUAAUACUGGAUAUGACCUUUCUCCUUAUGGGGUUUGGUGGAAAGUUUUUCGGUGUAGGAUGAGCCCGCGGCCUAUCAGCUUGUUGGUGGGGUGAUGGCCUACCAAGGCGACGACGGGUAGCCGGCCUGAGAGGGUGAUCGGCCACAUUGGGACUGAGAUACGGCCCAGACUCCUACGGGUGGCAGCAGUGGGGAAUAUUGCACAAUGGGCGGAAGCCUGAUGCAGCGACGCCGCGUGAGGGAUGACGGCCUUCGGGUUGUAAACCUCUUUCAGCAGGGACGAAGCGUAAGUGACGGUACCUGCAGAAGAAGCACCGGCUAACUAUGUG